rnacentral:rRNA from 1 species
UACGUAGGGUGCAAGCGUUAAUCGGAAUUACUGGGCGUAAAGAGUGCGUAGGCGGUUCUUGAAGUCCGCUGUGAAAGUCUCGGGCUUAACCUGGGAAUGGCAGUGGAAACUGGAGGACUUGAAUUGAGCAGAGGGGGGUGGAAUGCCGCGUGUAGCAGUGAAAUGCGUAGAGAUGCGGCGGAACACCGAUGGCGAAGGCAGCCCCCUGGGCUUAAAUUGACGCUGAGGCACGAAAGCGUGGGGAGCAAACAGG